UACAGAGGGUGCAAGCGUUGUUCGGAAUUAUUGGGCGUAAAGGGCGCGUAGGCGGUGCGGUAAGUCCGCAGUGAAAUCUCUGGGCUCAACUCAGAGUCUGCUGUGGAAACUGCCGUGCUUGAGUGUGGGAGAGGUGAGUGGAAUUCCUAGUGUAGAGGUGAAAUUCGUAGAUAUUAGGAAGAACACCAGUGGCGAAGGCGGCUCACUGGCCCGGUACUGACGCUGAGGCGCGAAAGCGUGGGGAGCGAACAGG
rnacentral:rRNA from 1 species